UACGAAGGGGGCUAGCGUUGCUCGGAAUUACUGGGCGUAAAGCGCACGUAGGCGGUCUUUUAAGUCGGGGGUGAAAUCCUGGAGCUCAACUCCAGAACUGCCUUCGAUACUGGAAGACUCGAGUCCGGGAGAGGUGAGUGGAACUGCGAGUGUAGAGGUGAAAUUCGUAGAUAUUCGCAAGAACACCAGUGGCGAAGGCGGCUCACUGGCCCGGUACUGACGCUGAGGCGCGAAGGCGUGGGGAGCGAACGGG
rnacentral:rRNA from 1 species